rnacentral:rRNA from 1 species
GGAGCCAUCCUUGAAAUACCACCCUUUAAUGGCUGGUGUUCUAACGUGGGCCCGUGAACCGGGUUGCGGACAGUGUCUGGUGGGUAGUUUGACUGGGGCGGUCUCCUCCUAAAGAGUAACGGAGGAGCACGAAGGUUGGCUAAUCCUGGUCGGACAUCAGGAGGUUAGUGCAAUGGCAUAAGCCAGCUUGACUGCGAGCGUGACGGCGCGAGCAGGUGCGAAAGCAGGUCAUAGUGAUCCGGUGGUUCUGAAUGGAAGGGCCAUCGCUCAACGGAUAAAAGGUACUCCGGGGAUAACAGGCUGAUACCGCCCAAGAGUUCAUAUCGACGGCGGUGUUUGGCACCUCGAUGUCGGCUCAUCACAUCCUGGGGCUGAAGUAGGUCCCAAGGGUAUGGCUGUUCGCCAUUUAAAGUGGUACGCGAGCUGGGUUUAGAACGUCGUGAGACAGUUCGGUCCCUAUCUGCCGUGGGCGCUGGAAGAUUGAGGGGGGCUGCUCCUAGUACGAGAGGACCGGAGUGGACGCAUCACUGGUGUUCGGGUUGUCAUGCCAAUGGCACUGCCCGGUAGCUACAUGCGGAAGAGAUAAGUGCUGAAAGCAUCUAAGCACGAAACUUGCCCCGAGAUGAAUCUUCCCUGAGCCUUUAAGGCUCCUGAAGGAACGUUGAAGACGACGACGUUGAUAGGCCGGGUGUGUAAGCGCAGCGAUGCGUUGAGCUAACCGGUACUAAUGAACCGUGAGGCUUAACCUUACAACGCCGAAG